CGGCCGCCGCCCCAGCUCCAGCCGUGGCCAUCGCGCCCAGAGCCAGCCGCGGCCGCCGCCCCCACGUCCCACCGCGGCCGCUGCCCUGCGCGCCAACGACCCCUUCCCCCGCCGCCGCGCCACAGGUCCACUUCGCCAUGAGCUCCAGCGCCGACCAUCCCGCCGCUGCUCGUGAUCCCCUCUUCCGUCAGCUCCACUUCACCGGAACCUUCCUUUCAGUCAGCUAAACGUAAAUAUGUUGGAUGAUGUUGUGGAGAGGGCCACCGAGAGGGGGUUUGCAUUGCCAAAGUCGAAGGUGGCCAUCGCCUUGACCUGCCUAGACCUCUUGACCUUUAACAACGCUCAAACAGGAAACACAUGUUGGAGGAGGAGACCACAAGCUAAUUGAUGAUUUGGAUGAGUGGAUCAGAGGACGACAUGAGCAGCUCAAGUCUCUCAACACGCGGAUGGAUGAUGUUGUGGAGAGGGCCAUCGAGAGGGGGUUUGCAUUGCCAAAGUUGAAGGUGGCCAUCGCCUUGACCUGCCUGGACCUCGUGACCUUUCACAACGCUCAAACAGGAAACACAUGUUGGAGGAGGAGACCACAAGCUAAUUUUAAGCAUCAACUAUUUGUUAGCUAUCAAUCUCGUCCUUUGAGCAUAUAUACUUUAUUUCUUAAACCAUUAUGCAUGAGCUUUGUAGGAUGAUUUGGAUGAGUGGAUCAGAGGACGACAUGAGCAGGUAUUUCCAUUUGAUCAUACCCAAAAUGAUAAUGUAUACCCUAACUUAAGAUGAUGGCUCUUCUACUCUGCUAACAUAACAUGCAUGUGCUUGUGUGGAGUGCCUGCAAAAUUAAUAUCUCAAGUCUCUCAACACGCAGAUGUGGAGAGGGUUCUCCUAGCGGUCAU